UACGAAGGGUGCAAGCGUUACUCGGAAUUACUGGGCGUAAAGCGUGCGUAGGUGGUGAGUUAAGUCUGAUGUGAAAUCCCCCGGGCUCAACCUGGGAAUGGCAUUGGAUACUGGCUCGCUAGAGUGCGGUAGAGGGUGUGGAAUUCCCGGUGUAGCAGUGAAAUGCGUAGAGAUCGGGAGGAACAUCUGUGGCGAAGGCGGCCACCUGGACCAACACUGACACUGAGGCACGAAAGCGUGGGGAGCAAACAG
rnacentral:rRNA from 1 species